rnacentral:rRNA from 1 species
UACGUAGGGUGCGAGCGUUGUCCGGAAUUAUUGGGCGUAAAGGGCUCGUAGGCGGUUUGUCGCGUCGGGAGUGAAAACCUCGGGCUUAACUCGGGGCUUGCUUUCGAUACGGGCAGACUAGAGGUAUGCAGGGGAGAACGGAAUUCCUGGUGUAGCGGUGAAAUGCGCAGAUAUCAGGAGGAACACCGGUGGCGAAAGCGGCUCUCUGGGACGGUACUGACGCUGAGACGCGAAAGCGUGGGGAGCGAACAGG